rnacentral:rRNA from 1 species
UACAGAGGUGGCAAGCGUUGUUCGGAAUUACUGGGCGUAAAGGGCGCGUAGGCGGUCCCGUAAGUUCCGCGUGAAAUCCCCCGGCUCAACCGGGGAAUGGCGCGGAAAACUGCGGGGCUUGAGUUCGGGAGAGGGAAGCGGAAUUCCGGGUGUAGCGGUGGAAAUGCGGUAGAUAUCCGGAGGAACACCGGUGGCGAAGGCGGCUUCCUGGACCGACACUGACGCUGAGGCGCGAAAGCUAGGGGAGCAAACGGG